rfam:Neorickettsia sennetsu strain Miyayama, complete genome.
GCCCAUGUGACGGAACGGUAGACGUAGCGGACUUAAAAUCCGUGGGCCUUUUGGCCUUGGGAGUUCAACUCUCCCCAUGGGUA